GAUGGUGUUGUGAAUAGAGCACUCUUGUGGAAAAAAGCACGAGCAAAUAAAAAAGAAAAGUUUGAUGGUGAACGGUUAGCCCGAACAGUUAUGAAAAUUGAUGACUUCAUACGAAAAAAGAAAGAUGGUGUGUUUAACAAAGGUCAUCCAACAGACGAUAUCCUUACACAAGCACUUGAGACACUUGAGCAUGCUGGUCGUGUUAGAGGUGUUGGUGGUUUUGUUACUCCGACAUUUUAUUUCAAUCUCAAUAAAGAUGUGAGAUUGGGAGUUGGAAAAACUGUGUCAGAAAUGAGAUCGGAGUUUGGAAAAAGAAAAUAUAGCCGAACUGAAUGCUAAGAUCAAUCAAUUCCAACAACAAAUGGGGAAUAAAGAUACCGAAGAGAAAGGUAGUUGUUCAGUAAUGAUGCAAAAGCCAUCCGAUCAAGUUGAAAACGAGCAAGAAGUUCAAUGUGUGGAAGUCGCCCCGAAAGUCAUGGAAAAGAAAAAAAAAAGGCAAAACAUGCACCACACAAGCUACCCAAGUUGAAAGCAAUGAAUAUACCUUUGACAUUGAAGAUGUUACACACCUUUGGUGGGGUUGCCUUCGUUGAUGGACUUAGUAUUAAAAUCAAAAUGGAUGGUAUAGUGUCUUUGAUCAUGAGAAAAACACCAAACUGUUCAUCUUCCUUGAUGACAUUCAACACAUGUGUGAAUUGGAGGCAAUCUCGGCAUCUUGUAUAUGUGUCUACAUAUGGCACUUAUAUAAGGAAUGCAAGAAGACAUGCCUUCUUUAAAAAAUUCAAAUUUGUUGAUCCGUAUAGCAUAUCACACGAUCCAAAGGUUGAUUCAGCAAAAAAGGCAAGAAUUUUGGGGAGUAGGAUGUGUGGUACAUUGACUAAUCAAUUUCGAUGUCGUGCAAUGUGUGGUCCAACAUGAAAGAUUUUGUGAAGUUUGAUCGUCCUUCAUAAAAUU